GGUAUAUUGGCUGGAAGUGCCUCCUCCAUGCAAAAUUACUUUCCAAUGAGAGGAUUCGUUUCCUUCUAAGUUUGGGCUUGGAUAUGAUGAACCAAGCUGUAGAAGGCAUGGAAGUGGUUCAACCUGGUGCUAGAGAGAAUGCCAGCUUUCUGAGAACGACAGAAAAGAGGCAAUUUGAAGCGCAGCAGCAGGCUCCAGCUUAUGACUCAGUCAUGUGAAUGGUGUUGGUGGAGUUCAUAAAAUGAGCUUCAAGGAAUCCAUUGAAGCUUAUGCAAUGGAGCAAGGCUUGCUGUUCAUGCCAAAAGUUGAUAGAUACUACAAUGGUCUUCCAGUGUAUGGAUUUGGCAACAUAAGUAUUUGCAUAGAUUCAGUGAAGAAACUGCUUUAUGCCCAAGUCAAUGAGGGCACUGAACACUGGAGUGCUGUGUCGCUCAGACGGUUAGUGGAGAUGCCCAGAAUGCACACGACAUUGAACAUUGACCUCCCGAUGCUUUAGUGGCUCUUGAUGAGAAUUCAGUUAGCUAUAAUUUUCCGCGUGCUGAUGCAUUUUCAACCACAUGAACAUACAAAUUAGCAGCGGAUGGGGAAUUUGCGGUCUUUAAAUUUCCACCAUAUCUGUAUAAUGGAUGCUGAAUCCAUUAACAACUCCUUUUGUUGUAAAGUUUUUUGUUUGAAUCUUUUCAUUUCAAGGAAAAUCACAUACAGAAUGUGCUGCCUUUCAUCUC